GGCUUGUAGUCAUAUGCUUGUCUCAAAGAUUAAGCCAUGCAUGUCUAAGUAUAAGCUUUUAUACAGUGAAACUGCGAAUGGCUCAUUAAAUCAGUUAUCGUUUAUUUGAUAGUACCCUACUACAUGGAUACCUGUGGUAAUUCUAGAGCUUAUACAUGCGCAAAACCCCGACUUCGGAAGGGGUGUAUUUAUUAGAUAAAAAACCAAUGCCCUCCGGGGCUCCUUGGUGAUUCAUAAUAACUUAACGAAUCGCAUGGCCUUGCGCCGGCGAUGGUUCAUUCAGAUUUCUGCCCUAUCAACUUUCGAUGGUAGGAUAGUGGCCUACCAUGGUGGCAACGGGUAACGGGGGAAUUANGGUUCGAUUCCGGAGANGGGAGCCUGAGAAACGGGCUACCACAUCCAAGGAAGGCAGCAGGCGCGCAAAUUACCCAAUCCCGAUUCGGGGAGGAGNGACAAUAAAUACUGAUGNANGGCUCUUUUGG
rnacentral:rRNA from 1 species